rnacentral:rRNA from 1 species
CAGUAGCCACGGUAAUACGAAGGGUGCAAGCGUUAUCCGGAAUGAUUGGGCGUAAAGCGCACGCAGGCGGCUCGAUAAAUUAGAAGUGAAAGCCUCGGGCUUAACCUGAGAAUUGCUUUUAAGACUGUCGAGCUAGAAUCCAGAAGAGGGUAGUGGAAUUCCGAGUGUAGAGGUGAAAUUCGUAGAUAUUCGGAAGAACACCAGUGGCGAAGGCGACUACCUGGUCUGGCAUUGACGCUCAUGUGCGAAAGCGUGGGGAGCAAACAGGAUUAGAGACCCGCGUAGUCCCUGUCUCUUAUAC